rnacentral:misc_RNA from 1 species
GCUGGCAGUGUAAAGCCUGCAACUGGUGACCAUUUCUUCGCCAUUCUUGAAGCUGCAAUGUCAUCACUCACCGCCUGUCAUGAGCCCUCUGUACGAGCAGAUUACCACGAGUUAUUCACAGCUGCGCAAGAUACAAUUGAGUGUCUUCCAAAGAAACAGCAAAAUAUGAUAACUACAUGGACCAUGAGGGCUGUGGUGGCUAAUGACCUCUUCACUGAUGACAGUUUCGUGUUUUCAAAAGCAACAGGCAGAAUUAAAGAAACAAUUUCAAAUCUUCCCGUUGCAACUGAAGAUGAUGACGGAGAAGAGGCUGCUGCUUUGAUAGAAAAGUCAGAAGCCGCCAAUGAAGACGCCGCCCAGACAGAAGAUAAGGAGGAGAGUGAUCCAUUUGGACUUGAUGAUUUGAUUCCAAGCACAUCAAAAAAAGAUGACAGGUCAAAGGGGAAGAGGGUCACAUCGACAAAAGCAAGAAAAGGACAAGAAGAAGAAGAAACCAAGAGAUUCCUGAGAUCACAGCGAGAAGCCUUGAUUUCCUGCUUAGAAAUUGCAGCUAAUCGUUACAAAACCCCAUGGUGCCAAACCUCUAUUGACAUCUUAGUCAAGCAUGCCUUUGACAACAUUUCAAGGUUCACCUCCCGACAGAGGGAUGCUAUCGAGAAACUUUGGGCUUCUGUCCGUGAACAGCAAGUUCGGAGGAAGCAAGGGAAAUCUGUCUCCGGGAAACUUGAUGUUAAUGCUUUCGAGCAUCUCCAGGAAAAAUAUGCAAAUGAGAAGAUCAGCAUCCGUCGUGCUGUUGGAGGCAGUGGGGAUCGAAAGUGUCAACAAUGGCUUGGUUGAUUUUAGUACUCUUGUAACACAAUCAUUGUAGCAAGGUACGUCUGGUUGCAGAAUUAGUCAUUAGUAGUUAUGAUAUUGUAUUUACUCUGAGAACGAAUACUAAAAAUUUGAGAAGAACAUGAAUUCAAGGGUGCGAGUAAAAGUGGAAACGAACUCAACCCACAAUCUUAGAGUUGGAGGUAGCGGGAGCUUACCAUCUGAGCA